UCAGAUUGAACGCUGGCGGUAUGCGUAACACAUGCAAGUCGAACGGUAACAUUGGAGCUUGCUCCAGAUGACGAGUGGCGGACGGGUGAGUAAUGCAUAGGAAUCUGCCUAUUAGUGGGGGACAACAUGUGGAAACGCAUGCUAAUACCGCAUACGCCCUACGGGGGAAAGCGGGGGCUCUUCGGACCUCGCGCUAAUAGAUGAGCCUAUGUUAGAUUAGCUAGUUGGUGAGGUAAUGGCUCACCAAGGCGACGAUCUAUAGCUGGUCUGAGAGGAUGAUCAGCCACACUGGGACUGAGACACGGCCCAGACUCCUACGGGAGGCAGCAGUGGGGAAUAUUGGACAAUGGGCGAAAGCCUGAUCCAGCAAUACCGCGUGUGUGAAGAAGGCCUGAGGGUUGUAAAGCACUUUCAAUUGGGAGGAACACCUACCGGUCAAUACCCGGUAGACUGACAUUACCUUUAGAAGAAGCACCGGCUAACUCCGUGCCAGCAGCCGC
rnacentral:rRNA from 1 species